UACGUAGGGUGCGAGCGUUAAUCGGAAUUACUGGGCGUAAAGUGUGCGCAGGCGGCCGAGCAAGUCGAGUGUGAAAGCCCCGAGCUUAACUUGGGAACUGCGCUCGAAACUACUUGGCUAGAGUGUGGCAGAGGGAGGUGGAAUUCCACGUGUAGCGGUGAAAUGCGUAGAUAUCGGGAGGAACACCAGUGGCGAAGGCGGCGACCUGGGCCAAUACUGACGCUGAGGUGCGAAAGCGUGGGGAGCAAACAGG
rnacentral:rRNA from 1 species